rnacentral:rRNA from 1 species
AGCGGCGAGUGAAGCGGCAAGAGCUCAGAUUUGAAAUCUCACCUAGUGUGCGAGUUGUAAAUUGCAGGUUGGAGUCUCGGGUUAGACGUGUGUGCAAGUCCCUUGGAACAGGGUGCCACUGAGGGUGAGAGCCCCGUAUCGUGCAUGUCGACACCUGUGAGGCCCUUCUGACGAGUCGAGUUGUUUGGGAAUGCAGCUCUAAGUGGGUGGUAAAUUCCAUCUAAGGCUAAAUAUUGGCGAGAGACCGAUAGCGAACAAGUACUGUGAAGGAAAGAUGAAAAGCACUUUGAAAAGAGAGUGAAACAGCACGUGAAAUUGUUGAAAGGGAAGGGUAUUGGGCUCGACAUGGGAUUUACGCAUCGUUGCCUCUCGUGGGCGGCGCUCUGGGUUUUUCCUGGGCCAGCAUCGGUUUUCGUUGCAGGACAAGGACAAUUGGAAUGUGGCUCCUCGGAGUGUUAUAGCCUUUUGUAGAUGCUGCGUAUGGGGACCGAGGGCUGCGGCGGACUCGUUUCGUCUCGGAUGCUGGCACAACGGCGCAAUACCGC